AUGUCAGUAGCUACUGGUCAUUGUCUUCUCAUCCAUUAACUAUUUCUUCUGUUGCUCCCAGUGGAGUCUGAUAUCCUGAUUUAUGAUGUUGGCGAAAGGCUACAGUCUUGAAGUUAAAGGAGUCAUGAGGAUACAACUUGGGAUACUUUAAAUAAGUCGCAGAGAAUGAAGCUGCAUCUUUUCCAUGGUCUUGUCCCAGUCUGAGUGGAGUAUGUCGAAAGGUUUGUCUCCCAACAGAACUCUUCUUCGGACCUCUGGGCUGCGGCAAAGGCUUCUUGUGCUGUGUGUCUCAUUUUCUAUAACCUAGCAAUAGGAAUAUAUGUCCUGAAGAAUAUCCUUCACCAUGCUACGAGACUUUUAACUCUGUGGACUUUGAAAUGCUAAAUUAAGUGAAAUAAAAUAUGCUAUAAAAAAAUA